CAAACUAAAGAUGGCGACCGGCGCACGGGUGAGUAACACGUAUCCAACCUGCCGAUAACUCGGGGAUAGCCUUUCGAAAGAAAGAUUAAUAUCCGAUAGUAUAUUAAAACCGCAUGGUUUUACUAUUAAAGAAUUUCGGUUAUCGAUGGGGAUGCGUUCCAUUAGUUUGUUGGCGGGGUAACGGCCCACCAAGACUACGAUGGAUAGGGGUUCUGAGAGGAAGGUCCCCCACAUUGGAACUGAGACACGGUCCAA
rnacentral:rRNA from 1 species